rnacentral:rRNA from 1 species
GAUGAACGCUAGCGGGAGGCCUAACACAUGCAAGUCGAACGGGAUUGGGAGCUUGCUCCCAUGAGAGUGGCGCACGGGUGAGUAACGCGUAUGCAACCUACCUUUAACUGAGGGAUAGCCCAUAGAAAUGUGGAUUAAUACCUCAUAGUUCUAUUAGAUCGCAUGAUUUGAUAGAUAAAGCUCCGGCGGUUAAAGAUGGGCAUGCGUGACAUUAGUUUGUUGGUGAGGUAACGGCUCACCAAGACUACGAUGUCUAGGGGUUCUGAGAGGAUGAUCCCCCACACUGGUACUGAGACACGGACCAGACUCCUACGGGAGGCAGCAGUGAGGAAUAUUGGUCAAUGGGCGCAAGCCUGAACCAGCCAUCCCGCGUGCAGGAUGAAGG